CGAUAAAAAAAAAUAUAAGGGGUACUUAAAAAACGGGGUUGAUUGAAAAAGUUGGGUUGUCACUCGUCCCAAGUGAAAGGUAUGGGACAGAGGAGAAUAAAUGCUUCUUUGUUCAUUGGAAAUUCGUUUUCCUAUAAAUGCAAAUACAAACUUCCCAAGGGUAUUAUCAAGGUCCCCCUGUGGUGGCACCGCCACAAUAUGCGCCACAAUAUGCUGCUCCUUCAGCACCCAGAAAAGGCAGUGGAUUCCUUGAGGGAUGUUUUGCAGCUAUGUGCUGUUGCUGCCUUGUAGAUGAGU